UUUCAACGAAGAUGCAUGAAUCUAACAAAAAUAGACAAGAAAUCUUUUUAAUUUAAUAUAAUUCUUCAAUGGGAGCACAGAAAAAUAAUUACCCUAAAAGAAGGGCCAUGAAACUGAUUAAAUAACUGAGAUAAUGCUUGACAAUACUGUUUCCCCGUCAAGCAAGAGCAGAAUAGGAAAAGGUCAUCCCAUGGCACUUCAUGGCCAAGGUAAAAAAAAGAAUUUGUCCAGAAAGGGGCCUUUCUAUAAAAGAAAGUAGGGGCAUUAUGGGAAAAGGUCAUCCCAUGCAUUCACGUCAACGGGCUGAAGCAAGUGAUUUCCCAACGUUUUCAAGCAUUUCCGAGCAGGCAUCUCAACUCCCCAAGCUCUUUGACUCAAAGCAAAACUUUCCAAAAGCCAUCCACAAAUCCAACCGUCCGUGAGGAGCUUCCCAACGUUCGUCAUCCCCAAGCUGCGUCUCAUCCUGAGUAAAUUCCAGCCACGGAGUCUUCUCAACACCCCGACGGUCAUCUACGUUUCCUUCAUUCCAUCGUCCGUGGCUUCCAACGAACAGACAACGCUCCAAUCUCAUCUUCCCAUCCGACUGUGGAUCUCCCAAGCAUCGUGGCAUCUCAUCAGCGUCCUUCCGUCUCCCCUGUUUCUUCCCAGCUCAUCCACGCGUUCCAGCAGAAGAGUCCCAAGCGAUUCGACUUCAUUCAUCCCGUGUUUCAAGCAACCGGAUCAUCUCCAAGCCACGUCUCAUCCGUGGGUCUUGCAUUCAAAUCCAACAUCAAUGUCUGCAGCUUCUAAAAAUUCUGCAACGUUCCCAGCCGAAG
rnacentral:lncRNA from 1 species